UGCUGGAGUGGCUAGGUCUUGGUGUC
rnacentral:piRNA from 1 species